UACGGAGGGUGCAAGCGUUAUCCGGAUUUAUUGGGGGUAAAGGGUGCGUAGGCGGUUUUGUAAGUGAGUGGUGAAAUCUCCGAGCUUAACUUGGAAACUGCCAUGGAUACUAUAGGUCUUGAAUACUGUGGAGGUUAGCGGAAUAUGUCAUGUAGCGGUGAAAUGCUUAGAUAUGACAUAGAACACCAAUUGCGAAGGCAGCUGGCUACGCAAAUAUUGACACUGAGGCACGAAAGCGUGGGGAGCAAACAGG
rnacentral:rRNA from 1 species